UACGAAGGGGGCUAGCGUUGUUCGGAUUUACUGGGCGUAAAGCGCACGUAGGCGGAUUGUUAAGUCAGGGGUGAAAUCCUGGAGCUCAACUCCAGAACUGCCUUUGAUACUGGCGAUCUCGAGUCCGGGAGAGGUGAGUGGAACUGCGAGUGUAGAGGUGAAAUUCGUAGAUAUUCGCAAGAACACCAGUGGCGAAGGCGGCUCACUGGCCCGGUACUGACGCUGAGGUGCGGAAAGCGUGGGGAGCAAACAGGG
rnacentral:rRNA from 1 species